rnacentral:rRNA from 1 species
UACGUAGGGUGCGAGCGUUAAUCGGAAUUACUGGGCGUAAAGCGUGCGCAGGCGGUUCGUUAUGUCCGAUGUGAAAGCCCCGAGCUCAACUUGGGAAUGGCAUUGGAAACUGGCGGGCUGGAGUGUGGCAGAGGGGGGUGGAAUUCCACGUGUAGCAGUGAAAUGCGUAGAGAUGUGGAGGAACACGAUGGCGAAGGCAGCCCCCUGGGCCAACACUGACGCUCAGGCACGAAAGCGUGGGAGCAAACAGG